UUUGUACUCCCGCCGUCCCAAAAUUCUUGUCUUAAAUUUGUCUAAAUACGGAUGUAUCUAGUUACAUUUUAGUGUUAGAUACAUCCGUAUCUAGACAAAUGUAAGACAAGAAUUUUGGGACGGAGGGAAUACUAC
rnacentral:pre_miRNA from 1 species